rnacentral:rRNA from 1 species
ACGGGUGAGUAAUACAUCGGAACGUGUCCUGGAGUGGGGGAUAGCCCGGCGAAAGCCGGAUUAAUACCGCAUACGCUCUACGGAGGAAAGCGGGGGAUCUUCGGACCUCGCGCUCAAGGGGCGGCCGAUGGCGGAUUAGCUAGUUGGUAGGGUAAAGGCCUACCAAGGCGACGAUCCGUAGCUGGUCUGAGAGGACGACCAGCCACACUGGGACUGAGACACGGCCCAGACUCCUACGGGAGGCAGCAGUGGGGAAUUUUGGACAAUGGGGGCAACCCUGAUCCAGCAAUGCCGCGUGUGUGAAGAAGGCCUUCGGGUUGUAAAGCACUUUUGUCCGGAAAGAAAUCCUCUGGGUUAAUACCCCGGGGGGAUGACGGUACCGGAAGAAUAAGCACCGGCUAACUACGUGCCAGCAGCCGCGGUAAUACGUAGGGUGCGAGCGUUAAUCGGAAUUACUGGGCGUAAAGCGUGCGCAGGCGGUCCGCUAAGACCGAUGUGAAAUCCCCGGGCUUAACCUGGGAACUGCAUUGGUGACUGGCGGGCUAGAGUGUGGCAGAGGGGGGUAGAAUUCCACGUGUAG